GCAAGUCGAGGGGCAGCAUUACUUUCGGGUAGAUGGCGACCGGCGCACGGGUGCGUAACGCGUAUGAAACCUACCCUUUACUGGGAGAUAGCCCGGAGAAAUUCGGAUUAAUAUCCCAUGGUAUUAUAAAACUGCAUGGUUUAAUAAUUAAAGAUUUAUCGGUAAAAGAUGGUCAUGCGUGACAUUAGGUAGUUGGUAAGGUAACGGCUUACCAAGCCUGCGAUGUCUAGGGGUCCUGAGAGGAUGAUC
rnacentral:rRNA from 1 species